rnacentral:rRNA from 1 species
UCGAGCGGCGAACGGGUGAGUAACACGUGAGUAACCUGCCCCUGACUCUGGGAUAAGCCUGGGAAACCGGGUCUAAUACCGGAUAUGACCGCCUCCGGCAUCGGAUGGUGGUGGAAAGUUUUUUCGGUUGGGGAUGGGCUCGCGGCCUAUCAGCUUGUUGGUGGGGUAGUGGCCUACCAAGGCGACGACGGGUAGCCGGCCUGAGAGGGCGACCGGCCACACUGGGACUGAGACACGGCCCAGACUCCUACGGGAGGCAGCAGUGGGGAAUAUUGCGCAAUGGGCGGAAGCCUGACGCAGCGACGCCGCGUGGGGGAUGACGGCCUUCGGGUUGUAAACCUCUUUCAGCAGGGACGAAGUUGACGUGUACCUGCAGAAGAAGCGCCGGCUAACUACGUGCCAGCAGCCGCGGUAAUACGUAGGGCGCAAGCGUUGUCCGGAAUUAUUGGGCGUAAAGAGCUCGUAGGUGGCUGGUCGCGUCUGCCGUGAAAGCCCGCAGCUUAACUGCGGGUCUGCGGUGGAUACGGGCCGGCUAGAGGUAGGUAGGGGCAAGUGGAAUUCCUGGUGUAGCGGUGAAAUGCGCAGAUAUCAGGAGGAACACCGGUGGCGAAGGCGGCUUGCUGGGCCUUACCUGACGCUGAGGAGCGAAAGCGUGGGGAGCGAACAGGAUUAGAUACCCUGGUAGUCCACGCUGUAAACGU